CGGCAACUACAGUGAAGAAGAAAUGGACCAUUUGGUUGAGGAGUUGUUGUCGUGACCCUCUUGUUUUUGUAAUUGAUAUAAAGUCAAAAAGCCGCCACAACGCAACAAAAAAAAUACCCGGUCAGGGCUCUAAUUGCAUCUAACCUGCACUGUUUGCGAAAUAUCGUUGGACACACUGGGCUUUGUAACUAGCUAGAUAAUCCCAUAGCCAGCUAGCGUUAGCUACAAUUGCUAGCUCUAGUACACAUUUGGGUCUGUGAGGAUGGCGGAGGAGGAAGACGAAGCUGGUUUUGACGAUGAUUUGGAUGACGGGGCGGGUGGAGCCGAUGGGAACCACGGCAAAAGGAAAAGGCUGUUCUCUAAAGAACUUCGGUGUAUGAUGUAUGGAUUUGGAGAUGACCAGAAUCCCUACACCGAGUCGGUGGAUAUCCUGGAGGACCUUGUGAUCGAGUUCGUCACGGAGAUGACACACAAAGCCAUGUCCAUCGGACGCCAGGGCCGUGUCCAGGUGGAGGACAUUGUUUUCCUUAUCCGGAAAGAUCCAAGGAAGUUUGCCCGAGUGAAAGACCUCUUGACGAUGAACGAGGAGCUGAAGAGAGCCCGCAAGGCCUUUGAUGAAGCGAACUAUGGCUCUUAGAGCCUCUGAUAGAGGGAUUUGGCCUUCACUGCAAAUACACGCCUUCUUAUCCUUUUUUAAACUUCUCUUUCACAUUGUCCAAGCUGUUUAUUCUGCUUUGAUCAUUGGACAUGUUUUUUUAAAGGAUUUAAAGUUGUUGCAGAUGUGAACAUAGAGAUAGUGUUUAUUGACCACCAACUUGUGACUACAGAUAUGUUUGUGCUCAUGUGAAAUGCUUAUGCCUUCUACAGACAUCUUUCUAUUUUUAUUUAACUAGGCAAGUCAGUUAAUAACAAAUUCUUAUUUACAAUGACUGCCUAGGACUAGGGGCAGAACGACAGAUUUUUACCUUGUCGGCUUGGAUUCGAUCAAGUAACCUUUAUGCUCUAUCCACAAGGCUACCUGCCGCCCCAUUAACAUACACACAUAUAAUACUAGAAAGUAGUUGUAUUUAUCGUAUACUGUGCUGUAUCCACAGAAGGACAUCACAUUGCAGUAUCAAUCAUUAGGUCCCGUGAGGAAAUGUCUCUUAGGUGAGAAUUGUUGUCCUGUUUAUCAGUAAGGAUAGUGACACAAUGGUGGAAUGGACAUUUAUGAAUAAAGUAACAACCAAUCCUUGACACUUUC